rnacentral:lncRNA from 1 species
AUUAAUACUAUUUAGGUUGAUCUAAGGUAGCCUUAGGUGCUUCUUCCAUUUGCUCUAUGGGAUCGAAAAUGUGACGGCAUCAUCAAGUGUAUAAUUGGCUUUUGUAUCAACCAACUUAUUUUCUAUAGAUAAAAUAACCUUCGAGUUAGUUGUCUUUUGGGGCUUUCGAUAUAGUGGAGUGAUAAAAAAAGUGAGUCCGCCAUAAAUGGUAGGAUCAGAGGGACGGUAAUCAAUAAUAAUGGAGGUUGUGCUGAGGAGAGUGACACAUCCAUAUCAUAAUCCAUGUCAAGAGUGGUGCAAAUGUAUGAUCGGAGGGACACUAAUCAAUAAUGAUGGGGGUCGUGCUGAGGAGGGCAACACGCUCAUAUCACAAUCCACAUAAGGAGUGGUGCAAAUAUAUGGUCGGAGGAGCCUCAUAGUUUCUGAGGAUCUUACUUGUCAAUGACCUUUUAAAGAUUAUAUCAUAUAGCAAUGGAUCACUUACCAUUGAAAAAUGCACCAUCAAUGUUACCUAGGGAGAGGGUAGUUGUUUGAAUAAAAAAUUCAAAGAUGAAAAUGUUAGAAUGAGAUUAUAUGUAUAAUUUUCAAUAUAUUACUAUUAUCUCAUCAUUUUAAUCAAAGUAUUUCCUAAUCUUUCCAGCCAUAGGGACUUGCCAAACCAUGGGUUUGACCUAACUCCUAGUUUGCCAUGCAUUAAGAGUGAAUCAAUCUACCAUGGAGGACAUGGAUCGUGGGCUAGCAAAGCUUGUUAUGGUGUGCAGUGCUGACAAAGGUUGAGCACUGGUGGACUACAAGCACACGCAUAUUAAGUUAGUUGGCCUUAUUGGACCAGUUUCUCCCCUAUGAUCUAAACGUGUCCAUUCAUUCCUCCAUGGUAUGGCCUUUAUCCUCUUGGAGCUUAAAAAUCCCAGUUAAUUAGGGCCCGUUUGGCCAUGUUCUCGGAUGCUUAUUUUUAAAAACUAUUUUUAAAUUAAAUGGCAAAAAAUAUAUUUUUUUAAUAUUUUUUGAAAAUAAGAAUGUUUGACAAUUAUUUUUAAAAAUAAAAAGUAGAAAACCUAUUUGGAUAAGUUGUUUUUAAAAGUAAUUUUUGUACUUUGAUUUCCUAAAAACAUUAUAAAUUCAAUUUAUAUAAUAUUAAUUAAAGUCAAUUCAAAUCUUAUUAAAAAUAAAAAUAAUUUUUUUAUAAAUAAUUUUUUUUAAAAAAAAUAGUUUUUAGUAAAAUAUGAAUAAUGAUAUUAUAAUAAAAUUAUAAAUUAUAUUUUUUUUUUAAAAUAUAUAUUCGAUUUUAGAAUAUGUUAGAAGAUAUUAAUAUCUUUGUAAAUUUUUUAUUAAAAAUAAAUAAUGAAAAAAAUUUAACCUUUUGACAUAUAAAUGUACCAACUCUUUCAUUAUAUGCACACAUUUAGUACUCAAUUACAAACAUAAUAUUUUAGAACAUUUUGAUUUAAUUUACCAUUAAUUAGAUUAGUUUUUUGAAUUCCAAAUUAUUCUUAAAAAUUAAAAGAUUCAUUAAAGAAUUUAAAUUAUUAAUUAUAUCUUAUUUAAUUUAUAAUCUAUUUACCUAGUGAGAAAUUUAAAAAUAUAGUUGCAUGUAGAAACGAUAAAGUCAUGACUCAAAACAUAUUAGAUUUGAUCUAUUUUCUUUUCGUAAUUAGAUCUAUUUUUUAAUUUCCAAUUAUUUAAAAAAAAUUAAAGCCCAUUAAUAAAUUCAAUAUAAAGUGUCGCAUAAUUUGAAGUUCAUUUUUUGGAUGAGAAAUUUAAAAAAAUAUAUAUAAUUAUGUGUAAAAAAUAAAUAAUAGCCAUAAUGAAGCAAUUUUAAUCCAUAAAUUUAUGGUAUUAAUUGAUUCACUAUUUAAGUUUUAUUACUAGACUUGUUAAUGAAUCCAAUGCAUUGAGUCUUGUUUAAUUUUGGGUUCAUUUACCUAAAGAAAAAAAAAAUAAUGAUUCUAUGUAGAAAAUAAAAAACAAAGUCGUUUUGGAUCAAUUUUUAUCUAUAAAUUUUUUAUAUUAAUUGGAUCAUUAUUUCAGUUUUAAGUUAUUUUUAAAAAUUAUUAUAUUCAUUAAUAAAUCCAACACAUUAAGUCUUGCUUAAUUUGGAGUUUAUUUACUUAGUGAAAAAAUUUGUAAAAAUGUAUUAUAUGUAAAGAAGAAAAUAACCAAGUCAUUUAAAACAAAUUUUAAUCUAUAACUUUCUAAUAUUAUUGAGUUCGACUUUUAAAUUCUCUUCAAAUUAAUUUUUAAAAUUAAUGAACUUUAUGCAUGAAGUAUAGUUUGAUUUUGAAUUAUUUGUUUAAUGAAAAUUUUUAGAGAAAUUAAAAAAAAAUAGAAAACUACAUGUAAUUUAAAGAAAUAAUAUAUUUGAAGAUUUUUUAUAUUGGCAUUAAAUCAUAGUGAGAGAAAAAAAAAUGAUAUAAUGCUCAAUUUUAUUUAUUUUUUAUGUUUUUUUUUUAAAUCUUCAUGUUUUUCCUUUGUUUUAAAAAACAAAUAAAAACAACUUCUACUUAUUUUCUAAAAAUUGUUUUCUAUUUCACUUUGUUUUUUAAAAUUGGAAACAUAGAACUACAGUCAAAUAGUGUUAUGAAUUUUUAAAAAUAAUUUUCUAUUUUUAAAAAGGAAAAACUGUUUUUUAAUCACAUGACCAAACAAGGUUUUAUUCUCUUUACCUUUUUCACAAUUUUCUUUUUUUACAUAUAUUUUUCUUUCUCUCAUCCUCUUGGGAGCAUGGUCUCUUGAAGAUUUAUACUUUAUACUAUUCAUUGUAAAUCAUAAAAGAAAACUUCUAAUAUCAUAAACAUGCUUACUUGAAUUUAAUUAAAAUAGAACAAUAGGAGUAUUCUUUUUAAAAAAAAAAUAAAAAUAAGAUUGAAAAUGCUAAGAAUUGUCUUCUAAAUAAUACCAUGAUUUUGAAAGAAAGGUUGAUUUUUAUAUCAAAAUAAAGAAAAUUGAUUAAAUUUUUUAACAUAUUUAUAUUUGCUAUGUUAUUUAAUGAUUAUUUUACCCUAAUCAAAGUUGAUGUUCAAUCAAGUUCAUAAUGAUAUUUUUAACAAUGAAAUCAAUUGCCUUUUUAAAGUGAAAAUUUUCUUAAUUACUCCUUUCAUUUUCUUAUUUGCUCUAUUCGAUUUCCAAGAAAUAAAGUAAAGAAGUUUUCAAAUCACAACAAUCCAUGACCUCAAUCUUUCUCUUAACCGGAUAAUUUAUUGUCCCAAUGGCACCAAUUGUAGUUGUGAUCCCGUCUUUGUCAUCAACCUAAAAGGGUUUUCUUUUCUUCCCUUUUCUAGAAACACUUGUACUAGUCAAUCUCUUCUUUGUUUUAUUUGGUUGUUGAGAAAAUGAGAAGAAGAUUGAGAAUGAAAUUUGAUUUUUGUGAUUGUUGUUGCCUUGGUGUUCAAAGUUUUGAAACUUAAGUCAAAUGAUUGUUCUUUACUUUGUUUGGUUGUUGAGAAAAGGAAAAGAAGAUUGGAAAUGAAAUUUGAGUUUUGUGCUUAUUGUUUUAAUCUUUAAAGUUUUAAAACUUGAGCUAAAUAGUUGUGCUCGUGUAGAUUUUUAUUGUAUGGAUUAUGAUUGAAUCAUGGUUAACAUAUUAGUGCACACAUCUAAGAACACGGAUAUGGAAUUUAAACAAUUAUAGACAAUAAUUGUACUAACUAUACAAGGUUAAUGAACUAACUUUAUAAGGAGUGUACAAGGCAACUUAUUUGAAGGAAUUGAAGUAUUUCUUGUCAACUUCCCUACUUCUUUCCCUCACCUAAAGGUUAUUCCCUUCUAAGAAAUACAUUGACACAUUACAUACCCAUCUCAUGCAUGUUUGUCAAUCCAUACAUUGAAGUUUCAAAUCCCUACUCUCAUUAAAUGUACAAGGUUUCAUCUUUGGAAGCAAUCGGUCUAUGGUUACUUUUGACCAAACCACUUGAAACACGGUUAACACACUUGUGCACGCAUCCAAGAAUAUAUCAACUUUUCUGGGGUUUUUCAGUAUAUUAUUUACAUGGAGAGAACACAAAAUAAAUAAGAAAAUUGCAAUCCUAUUUUUGUCUAUACAAAUAUCUCAGCAAAGAUCAUGCCAUACUUGUAUGGCAUGAUUCUAUAUUUACGUCUACAACUAUAUCCUUCCUAAGUUGGUUUCUAACAGCUCACGCUAACACUCUCCCUCAAGUUGAUGCAUACAAAUCUCUGAUGCACAACUUGUUGAGUGAGUUGUGGAGCUCUUUGCUUGAUACCACAUUUGCGAGUAUGUCUGCUAAUUGGUCUUCAGACUUCACAAAUGGAAAUCAAAUUAUUUUUGCUUUUAAGUUUUCCUUGAUAAAAUGUCGAUCCACUUCCACAUGUUUUGUACGGCCAUGUUGGACUGGGUCUUGAGAUAGUGCAAUAGCAGCUUUGUUGUCACAAAAAAGAUCCAUUUCUGAGGCAGAGGCAAAACCUAGUUCAGUAAGUAGUCUCUUGAUCCAGAGUAGUUCACACACCCCUUUUGUCAUUCCACGAAAUUCUGUUUUAGCGCUAGAAAGUGCUACCACCUUUUGCUUCUUGCUUCUCCAUGUAACAAGAUUCCCACCUACAAACAUAAAAUAACCUAAAGUAAAUCUUCUGUCUAAGAUAUUUCUAGCCCAAUCUGCAUCUGUAUAGACAUUAAUUCUUAAAUGACCAUUCUUUGAAAACAGAAGUCCUUUCCCAAGUGAGGACUUCAAGUAUCUUAGUAUCCUAAUUACCGCAUCCAUGUGGUCUUCACUAGGGUUAUGCAUGAAUUGGCUAACUGCGCUUACAACAUAUGCAAUGUCUGGACAAGUAUGUGAGAGGUAUAUGAGUUUGCCAACUAACCUUUGGUACUUCCCUUUAUCCAUUGGUGCUUGAUCUGAGUAUUUUCUAAGUCUAUGGUUUUGGACAAUUGGAGUAUCCAUCGGUUUGCAUUCCAACAUUCCUACCUCAGUUAAUAUAUCCAACACAUACUUCCUUUGGGAAAGAAAUAUUCCUUGUUUGGACCUGGCAACUUCAAUUCCCAUAAAAUACUUGAGUCCUCCCAAGUUCUUCAUCUCAAAUUCUGUGGCUAACUCCUUUUAUAGUCUAGUUAUUUCUUCUUCAUCAUUUCCUAUGAUAAUCAUUUCAUCCGCAUAGACUAUCAACACAGUUACCUUUCCCACUUUGUGUUUUAUGAAUAGUGUAUGGUUCGAGUUGCUUUGCUUGAAUCUGUAUUUCCUCAUUGAUAAACUGAACCGCCUAAACCACACUUGAGGUGAUUGUUUCAAUCCAUAUAGUGCUCAUUGUAGUUUGCACACAACCUUGGUUUCAAUAGAUGUCGUAUAUCCCGAAGGAAGUUCCAUGUACACUUCUUCUUCAAGAUCUCCGUGUAGAAAGGCAUUUUUACAUCAAAUUGAUGUAAUGGCCAGCCAAGGUUGGCUGCGAGAGAUAACAAUACCCUUACAAUGCUCAGUUUUGCAACUGGUGAAAAAGUUUCUUGGUAGCCUACCCCGUAUGUUUGUGUGUAACCUUUUGACACCAGUCUUGCUUUGUAUCUUUCAACCGUACCAUCUGCCUUGUGUUUGAUAGAAAAUACCCAUUUCCAUCCUACUGCUUUCUUCCCUUCAGGUAAUGGAACUAUGGUCCAUGUGUUGUUAUUUAGUAGUGUCUCCACUUCCUCUUUUAUUGCUUGAGUCCAUUGCGGUUCAGACAAGGCUUCUUGAACUCCAACUAGAAUUUGACUUGAGGAAAGUACAUAGAAAAAUGCUCUAAGGGGUUCGGAUAAUCUCUUGGUAGACACAUAGUUGGCAAUUGGAUACUUUGAUUUUCGCUUUUCAAUACCAGGAGAAUAUCUAGUCUGUGGCUUGCCACAAUUUUCCUUAAAAGGCAAUGUAUAUCCAGUAGAAGUAUUCAAGUCACUUAUAUUGGAAGGCAUGUCAAGAAUUCUUACCUCACGGAUAUUUUCAGGAGAUGGGUCUGCAUGUACUAAGGAAGGAGGAGGGGGAGGGGGGAACUUAGUUCAGUUGCUGAAGGCAUAUAAUUUUCUGAAGUUGUAUUUUGCUCUAUGGGUCCAUCUAGUCUUGUGGGAUCAAUCAACACUAGGCUUGGUACUUCAUCCACCAUAGUUUCACUAUUUGGCUAGUCAAAGUGCAACCAUUUCUGCUCUUCAUCUCGUGUCUCCCCCUGAAGAUAAGAAGUGGGGGUUGGGAAAAAAGGUUUAGACUUUAGGAAGGUGACAUCCAUAGUUACAUAGGUGCGUCAGGUAGAGGGAUCAUAGCACCGAUAACCCUUCUGAUGCACAACAUAGCCUAGGAAGAGACAACGACAAGCACACUGAUCUAGUUUGGUUCUUUGAUUUUUGUGAAGAUGUACAUAAGUUACACACCCAAAUACUUUAGGAGGAAACAUUAGGGUUGUAGGUAAAGAGAGGUGUGAUGCCAGAACUUGGAGCGGAGUCUUAAAAUUUAAGACUUUUGAGGGUAGUCUAUUGAGUAGAUGAACGACAAUGGAUACUGCAUCAGACCAGUAUUGGGGUGGCACAUGCAUUUCAUGUAGUAAAGCUCAUGCAGUUUCAAGAAUAUGGUGGUGCUUCCGCUCAGCUAUGAUAUUUUGCUGAGGGGUAUGAGGACACAAUGUCUCAUGAACAAGUCCAUGAUGUUCGAAAUAAGUACGGAAGCGCUAAUUAACAUAUUCACCACCAUUAUCGGAGCGGAGAACUCAGAGCUUAGAAGAAAACUAAGUUUGGAUCAUCGCAUGGAAUGAUUGAAACACAUGUAAUACUUCAUCUUUAUGUUUCAUCAAGUAAAGCCAGGUCAUACGGGUACAUUCGUCAACAAAUAUACAAACCAACAAACACCAGAACCAAUCGAGAUAUGGGAAAGACCCCACACAUUAGAGUGAACUAAAGCAAAGGGAAAAGUGCUUUUAUUCAUACUUAGUGGAUAGGAAGUCCGAUGAAUUUUGGCUAUAAUGCAGGUAUUACAUUUAAGGUCAGAAAACCUUGUAUUAGAAAAAAGAUCAAGUCGUAGAUGCUUCAGAUAAUCAAAAUUUGGAUGCCCCAAAUGUCGAUGCCAAAGUUAGAUUUUUUGUUCUCUCACAUCACUUUGUAUUUGGUGAACAUGACCUGUGCUAACAUAUUUCAUGUAGUAUAGACCCCCCCCUCCCUCCCUUUUUAGUACCACGCCCAAUUAUCUCCUUGGUGAGAAUAUCCUGAAGAAUACAAAAUGUAGGAUACAUUAGGACAACACAAUUUAGUUCUAUUGUAACUUGAUUAAUAGAUAGUAAUUUAUGUGAGAGCGAUGUAACAAGUAAUGUAUUCAAUAAUUGGAAUGAAGGAGACAAAUACACAGAUCCGACCCCUAUGAUAGGAGAAACAACCCCAUCAGCAUUGGCAACACUAGUGCGUCACGGGGAAGAUGUUGUAGUAAAGUCGAUAGCUGCAAAAUUCAUAUGGUCUGUGGCUCCAGAGUUAAGAAGCCAUGUACCACAAUCAACAUCAUAGAAGGUAACUAAAUUAGAACCACAGUUACCUAUAUCAGAGACGGGUCCUGCAUCCUGAGAAGACUCAGCCUAAGGAAUCAAGGAAAGGUGAGGUUCGAUUGACAUUAUAGCCACUUUGCCCUUGUUUGCAUCCGCACCAACUGAGUCCUUCUUUUUCUUUGCCUGCAACUUAUACCACCAAUCGGGAUAACCAUUUUUUUGAAACAAUUCUCACUUGUGUGGCAUGGGAGCAUUUCAUUCCAUCAGGAAUAGUUCAUGACUUAGAGGUUGUAGUGCAUUUCCCAUGGUUGGGGGCUACAACAGAGUUUGUGUUGGCUAAACUCAGUUUCAGCCCUUUGGUAGUCAGAACCACACCUGAGGUAUUGUCGGGAUCACUAGUGCUCAUGACUGCUUAUCGAAGAGCCUCUCUGUGAACAUGAGCAUAAGCUUGCUCGAUUAAGGGAAAUAGGCGCAUUUGAAGCACAUUGCUGCGGAUGUUGUCAAUGCGAUCAUCAAGACCAUCAAGGAAAGUGUAAACAUGAUCUUCUUGGAGUAGGUUGUUGUAGUGGUAGAUGUCAGUGGUGCAUUCCAUCAGAUUCGAAUGACAGAAAUCAAUUUCCCGCCAUAGUCCUUGUAGUUUAGUGUAGAACUUCUCAAGGGAUCCACUACCUUAUCAUAGACAAGUCACACAUCGCUGGAGUUCAUAGACUUGAGAAGUAUCGUUGCCAUCGAAAUAAGUUGUAGCAAUGGCAUCCCAGACCAAUUUUGCUGUGGGAAAUCAGAUGAAAUUGUCCAUGAGUGUUGGAUCCAUAGAGUUUAUCAACCAUUAUUUGACAAUGGAAUUAUCAGUACGCCAUUUUCGAAAUGAUGGAUUUGCCUAUGGCAGUGGUGGACAAUUGUCGUUGAUAUAACCUAGUUUAUCUUUGUCGGAGAUGUACAUCUCGACAACCUGGGCCAAAGGGUGUGGUUGGAACCUUCCAACUUGAUACCAAUUCGAGCAGUUGAGUUUUCGGUGGUUGAAUUCAAGACUUAGACUUUGGAUAAGGCUUCAGUCAUUUGGCUGGUAAGGGUGGUGAUGAUGGAGUAGGUAUGUGAUGGAGGAUCACCAGAAUUAGUGAUAAUGUCGAUGUCUAUCAUAGAUGAAGGGCAUGGAUCAAACAGACAAAACUAGAGUUUUUCCGAUGAAGAGAGCCAAAGAUCGAAUUCCAUGAUCUAAUACCAUAUCAGCUUUUCUGGGUUUUUUCAGUAUAUUAUUUACAUGGAGAAAAUACAAAAUAAAUAAGAAAAUUAUAGUCCUAUUUUUGUCUAUACAAAUAUCUUGGCAAAGAUCAUGCCAUACUUGUAUGGCAUGAUUCUAUAUUUAUGUCUACAGUUGUAUCCUUCCUAAGGUAGUUUCUAAUAGCUCGCGCCAACAAAAUAUAGAUGUAGAAUUUGAACAACUAUAUAAUACAAUUGUACUAAUUAUUCAAAGUUAAUGAACUAACUAUAUAUAUAAGGGGUGUGCAAGACAAUUCAUAUGAAAGAAUUUGAGUAUUUCUUAUCAACUUCCCUACUUCUUUCCCUCACCUAGGGGUUCUUCACUUCUAAGAAACACAUUAACACAUCACAUACUCAUCCUAUACACGUCUGUACACCAAUACAUUGGGAUUUUGAAUCUCUAUCCGGACUAAAUAUAUGGGUUUCCUCUUUGGAAGCAACCGGGCUAUGAAUUUCUUUUACCAAACCAGUGGAACAUAUGAUUAAUAUACUUAUGUAGAUGUCCAUGAAUUAUGAAUUCCUUUUAUCAAACCAGUGGAACAUAUGAUUAACAUGCUUGUGCACAUUUACAUGAAUUUGGAGAUGGAUUUUGGACAACAAUAUAAGACAGUUCCACAACUUACAAGGCCAAUGAACUAGUUGUACAAGAGUUGUACAAAACCAACCAUUGUGAAGGAAUUUGAGUGUUUUUUUACAACUUGUUGGCUUCUUUCCUUCACCAAAACACUUGAAACAUUUUUACAAAUGACAAUAAAAUAAAAAAAGCAAGUAUCAAAUUUUGUUUUCAAAUUAAAAAAAAAAUUCUAAUUAACAUAAAAAUAGAUUGUUAUUUUUUGAAAGAUAAAAUUAAAAAUAGAAAUAUAAUAUAUAUAUAUAUAUAUAUAUAUAUAUAUAUAUAUAUAUAUAUAUAUAUAUAUAUUUAUCUUUCACUUGAUUUGUAAAUAUUUUAAAAAUAAAUAGGAAAAUAAAAUAUUUUAAUUAAAUUUUAAGAUAAAAUUUGAAAACAUGAAAUAAUAAUUAAUUUUACAUAAAAUAUAAAAACUUUUAGAGGCUUAUAUUAAAAGAGUAAUGGUUUUAAAAAUUAAAAUUUUGAGGUAUUAAAAACUUUUACCAUCUCAAAUUUUAAAAAAUUUAAAUUUAAUUUUUAAGGAUAUAAAAUAAGCAUAUAUUUUUUAUAUAAGAAAUUUUAUUUCUUAAGUUAUAAAAAUUAUUAUUAAUUUCUAUUUUUAAAAACAAAAAAACAAGAAAUAUAUUCAAAAGAAACAUUUAUUCAAAAAUUUUAAAAUGCAUAGUAGUAAAAAAAAAAUUUAAUUUUAAGCUAAUAACAAAUAUUUCGAGAUUUUAGGGGUUUUGAGUUUUAAAAUUAUAAACCACAUUUGGGAUUUUGACAUAUUUUGGUCUUCUUCCCAUUAAAUAAUUGCCACUUCAUCUAUCUCCAUGUAUAAUUUUUUUAAAACUCUAUUAAGGGUAUUUUGGGCAUUUUUGGUUCACAAAUUAUGGAUAUACCCUUAAGGGCAUUUUAAAAACUUGCUCUAUCCCUUCAUAGCAAUUGUGCAAAAUUUUGUGGAUAUUUGACAUGUCUUUAGGAUUACCUAAGGAAACAUGUUUACUCAAACCCUUGUGAUAUCAUGAUAUCAAUAUUGAAUAUAUCUAUUGCCAUUAGGCUCCAUCAAUAGUGACCUAAUCUAUGGGAAAUAUACGACCACUUUAAGAUCUCACUCAUAGGUCAAAACCACUAAAAACUUUGGCAUAAACUCAGUAUCUUCUCAAGGUUGAGAACCCAUAUAAUAUGAUAGUUUGGUGAUAUCAUGACUACUUGAUAAUCAAUAUCAUAACUACCUGAUUGUAAAUAUCACGAUUCACCAUAGAUUUUGUUCAAUAUAUAACCGUACACACUAGUGAAUAGGAAAAUCAUCUGAAUGGUCAAGACCAGUCAUCCCUACAAUGAAUUAAGAGAUAGUACACUACAACCUCAAUUGCUUAAGUCCAUGAACUAACUAUGAACUAACUAUCUACUUGCAAGGAACUCAUGAUUUGGAUUUUCCGUGUAACUGUUAAAGCACCAAAGUCAUGUACAAUGCAAAAGAUAUCAAGUUAAAAUGCUUUAAAAGGGUAAUGCAUGACUAAGAUAGAUUAAUUGAGAACUAGAAUCUUAUUAAUAAAUAAUAAAUCCAUUAUUAUUGCAUCAUAUUAUAUUUUAAAGGUUCUAUCCUAAUAAGGUGUAUUUAAAUCAAACCUCAUAGGUCUAAGUAAAAUUAACAUUUAGUAAAUUUUAUAAAUGACUAUAAGAUGAUACACAAUUAUCAAACUCGAAUGGAUAGAAAAUAAUAGGACUUCUUAUUAUCAUAUUAAAAGUCUUUUCACUUAGCAUGAAUGUUUCUAAGUGUUAUAUUUCCUUUGGUAUAGUUUUGAUUUUGGUUGGAGAUAUAUGAAAAUUACUAGUGGAUAUUGGAUCAACUAUUUAUUACUUUUAUAGUUGGAGGGAAUAUAUAUAUAUAUAACAUUAGGUCACAUAUAAAUUAAAUUAAAAUUCUAAAUGAUAUGAAUUCAAAAGAAGAAUUAAUUAUAAAUGCCGGUACAUUUAUAAAGGGAAAUUUAAUAAUAUAUUUUUUUCCUUUGGAUGAAAUUAAAAAAAAAAAAAGAUAUAAUUAUUAUUAACAUCCUUAUUUGAUCUACAUUACUUAUUGGAAAGGUCCUAUGAAAUAUGUUAGCCCAAGGGUUCUCCUAAUCAGGUUUUGAUGAUAACAACCUAUGGUUAAGUUACUAAUUAAUUUGAAUUGUAAAGAAUCUCAGGUAUUAAUUUGGAAAUUCAUCAAAUGAUCUAAUGGAUACAAGAUCAAGAUGUUUGGAAGACCUUUAAUCAUAGAAAACAAAUAUAAGAUGAAUGCAUGAGUGCACUUAGGUUUUACAUAUCAUUUCAUGCAUAUUUGGAAAACCCGGUUGAUUCCUUAAAGUUAAAGUUUCAUUAAAACCCGAGUUUUAUCAAGUGUACCUUAGGCAAAAUGUUUCAAAAUUGGCAUAUUAAAUUACCUAAAGGCCUUGCCUAAGUGUUAGAAGAGAAAAGAAUAGAAAAAGAUAGGUUUUCAGAGCCAAAAAGUUGAACUAGUCAAGGCACUGGGCCAACCAGCUCAACCGGCCAAGGUACCGAUCAACCGGUUCCCUUUGCCCGAUCGAGGUCCAGUCGAGGAGUGCUAAAAAAAUUCUCUCUCAUCCAAUAGCCUUCUCUUCUCGGUCAAGGUAUCCUCCUUCCUGAUCGACCUCCGAUUGAGGUUCAGUCGAGGUCCAGUUGAAGCAACGGCAACCUGCCAAAGCUUUAAAUGCUCCAACGGCUAGUGAACCGGUCGACCCCCAACUCGACCGGUUGAGGCUGCUUUUUGUUUUUCUUAGCUCCCAAGGUUAGCAACCUAUAAAUUGAGAGUUCCACUUCAUUUAUGACAAGAGAACACUUACAUUUAUUUGUCUACCCACUUGUUCUUGCCUUAAAAGCUUUCAUUUCUUUCUUGGUGCAUUAAAUCUUCACUUGCAUAUCAUUUAGUGCACCUUUGUGAUUCAUCCUAGCUUUGAUUUGUAUUUGAGCUAUCAUUGAGCUAGGUUGAGGGAUUCAUUCUAGUAAAAUUGAGUGUUAAAGCCUUCAAAUUAGUUGAAUCUUGAAGAGAUUGUGUAAGAGCCCAAUGGAGCCGGAAUUCAAGUGUAAAGGAGAUUAGAAGCUUAGUUGAAACUUCAAGUAAGUGGAACCCUCACUUGGUUAGGAGCUUGAGGAGAGUGGGCGUAGGCAAGGAAGUGUCAAACUAUUAUAAAAUCUGAGUUUGAUUUCUCUAACUCUAUCUCUUUAUAUUUGCUUCUAUUGUGCUUGAAUUUGUUGUGUUGAAAAAGAUUUUGAAAAACCCAAUUCACCCCCUCUUGGGUGUUUUUCUCAUUUAAGAUUAGUCUUUACUUUCUCACAAUACCUCCUCAUCUUAAUUUAUCAAAACGAAGUUGAUUGUUGUUGAAAUGUUAAAAGUUUAUGACACAACAUUAUUGCAUCAUAUUAUCUAUAGGAAUUCACUUUAUCAGUUAAGAAAAGUGAAUUUAUAAAAUUACAAAAGUUGUAGAGUUAGAAUGAAAAAUUGUAAUUAUUAACUCACUAUUUUAAAAUAUGCUUACAAACGGAUGAAAGAGUGUGAUUUUGAAUCAUCUCUGAAUAUCUCUUCUAUGUCUUUCGCUUUUCUCAAAUUUUGGAGAAUCUAACAAAGGCUAGAAGGGCAAGUUUAUAAACUUUUGAAGAGUUUUGCGGUAGUGAAAUCAAAUGAGUCGAAAAGAAAUAUCUUCUUUAGUUAUUGAAUUAAUGUAUUAACACACUGUAAAAAUCAAUGGACAAAUCCUUCCUUGUCAAGGGUUUCUCUUUGGUUAUUCAACAUUUGGGAGGCAUUGCCUUCAAACUCUAAGUGGAGAAAUACAGUUCAAGAGCAUAGUGACUACCUCAUGAAUGUAGAUAUACCAUUAUUGGUGUCAUCUAUAGUUAUAAGCGUUUUUUACUUGAUUCAAGGGUCAAACAUAGUUGAUCAUUAUUUUAGAACUUAGAAAAAGUUUGUGUCGAAGUCAUAAUUAUUUGCUUUGGUUUCUGGUUUAUAUUUGGAAAUCCUGGUUAAGCAUAUUGAAUCCCAAAUUAUAUGUAUGAAGGAGGAAAUGAAAGAGGACAAGUUAUUAAUUGGUUCCCUAAAGUAUUUUCUGUGAGUCCUCUUGCUUAGAACAAGUUAUGAUGGAAGGUGUGGUUUCGCCAAGUCUAAAGUUUCAUCCACAAAUAUUAGCACUAUAAAGUGGCAUCCCCUACUUCUUGACCGGCAUCAACCCAAGAUUAUUCCCAAGGAUGUCUGACUUUGGUCACUCUUUGUGGGCUCUGGUCGACACCAUCCCAUCCUCUUCAAGGAAAGUUGUAUCAAUAUUAUUAUUAUUUUUAAGUUGGCAAUCAUGGUAACAGGCUUGAACAGGUUGACUACUUCGCCAGAAAAUAAAUGAAGGAAUUGCAAGCAAGGAAACCAGAUAACUGGGCAAGAGAGCGCUUUUCCUUCACUCCAGUGGAAGUGCGGAUUACAUUUCAUAUGCUGAAUUAAGGGGUUCAAAUAUUAAAGAAAACCACAAAGUUUCAACACAUGGUACGUACAUUAGUUUUUAUUAGGCCUCGCAGCCUGAUUUCUCACUUGAAAUUUAAGAAAAACAUGAACCCAGAAAGGGGAUCGAUUCUAUUUAUUUAAUUUGUCUCCGAUUAGUACACAGAUAAAAGUUAUUGCCAACACUGAAAUAAGGUUGGAGCUUGAAAACUUUUCAUCCCAGAGACCAGACAUAAAACACUACGUGGUUCACAAGUAAGAAGAGAGCAGUACUAGUCUAAGCACCGACAUCAGUCCUCAGAUUCAUUUAUUCAACUCUGCCGCUGACCCAUGACUAGGAAACAGUUCAUGGGGUUUUUUUAUUUAUCUCACUUCUACAUGACUAAAUACUAGCUAGCUUGCAGGCUGAUUACUAGUUGUUCAACAAGAAAGACCUCUCUAUCUGUGUGGAGAGGUACAAUGAAGCUGAGCCAUGAAUGGAUGAAACAAGCUUCUCAUCCACAUUACACUCUUUUUCUUCCUCCAUGAUCGUGUCCAAAAUUUUUGUUAAUUGGCGCUUGGUUACAGAGAUGAAUCGUGGGGGAGCAACCUCCAUAGUGAACCUUGUAUUCUGUGACUUCGCCAUUUCAUGCAUCGGGCAAUAAAAUGGUGAUAGGAUUCCACCAAAUACAGAACUAGAAAGUGCCUGAAACUGAACCCCAGAAUAAAGAAUGAGUAGGAAAGAAAAAGUAAGGGAAGCAGGCAUAGAGGACUCAAGGAUAAGAGGGAAAAACAAAUGGAAGAAGUAGAGAAAAGAGAGGAGUGAUGAUUUGUGUUGGUGGACGCUCAUUCCAGUGAAUUUAUAAGGCUGAAGUUGUGGUAGUAGGCAUUUUUGGGAAGGGAACAUAGCUAUCAUGUGGUCC